GACGAACGCUGGCGGCGUGCUUAACACAUGCAAGUCGAACGAAGUGGCGAACGGGUGAGUAAUACGUGGGUAACCUGCCCUCCUUUUUGGGAUAAGCCUUGGAAACGGGGUCUAAUACCGAAUACAGGGGGAUGGGCUCGCGGCCUAUCAGCUUGUUGGUGGGGUGAUGGCCUACCACGGCGGUGACGGGUAGCCGGCCUGAGAGGGUGAGUGGCGAAGUUAAGACUGAGAUACGGGCCAGACGCCUACGGGAGGGAGCAGUGGGGGAGAAUGCACAAUGGGCGAAAGACUGAUGCAGCGACGCCGCGUGGGGGAUGAAGGCGUUCGGGUUGUAAACGUAAUUAGCUAUCGAAAGGGUAGGUGGAGAAGAAGCGCCGGCUAACUACGUGCCAGCAGACGCGGUAAUAC
rnacentral:rRNA from 1 species